rnacentral:rRNA from 1 species
GACGAACGCUGGCGGCGUGCUUAACACAUGCAAGUCGAACGGUAAGGCUCCAGCUUGCUGGGGUACACGAGUGGCGAACGGGUGAGUAACACGUGGGUGACCUGCCCUGCACUUCGGGAUAAGCCUGGGAAACUGGGUCUAAUACCGGAUAGGACCAUGGUGUGGAUACUGUGGUGGAAAGUUUUUUCGGUGUGGGAUGGGCCCGCGGCCUAUCAGCUUGUUGGUGGGGUAAUGGCGUACCAAGGCGGCGACGGGUAGCCGGCCUGAGAGGGUGGACGGCCACAUUGGGACUGAGACACGGCCCAGACUCCUACGGGAGGCAGCAGUGGGGAAUAUUGCACAAUGGGCGGAAGCCUGAUGCAGCGACGCCGCGUGGGGGAUGACGGCCUUCGGGUUGUAAACUCCUUUCACCAUCGACGAAGGGUUUCUGACGGUAGAUGGAGAAGAAGCACCGGCUAACUACGUG